rnacentral:piRNA from 1 species
UGGAACUGUAUAUACGGGCUUUUGGCCAAG